rnacentral:lncRNA from 1 species
GAUUGUUCUCAAUGUCUUGAACCUCUUGGGCAAGCACAUCAAGAACUUGUGAAUGAAGUCCUCAUCCUUCACUUUCUCACCAAGGCCCUUGAGAUCAUUGAUGAUGACUUGGAGCCUAUAGAACAUCUCCGGUAUAGAUUCAUCAUCCUUCAUCUUGAAGUUGGAUAACUUGUCCUUGAGCAUAUACAAUUUGGCACUUUUUACCGUUGUAGUGCCUUCAUAUGUUUCUUCUAGCCUUGUCCACACUUCACU